AACAAAAAAAAAAAAACAUUGAGUGAAAUGAGUGCUGGAUGUUAAGCUUCACAGAUUUCUCUCCUGAAAACUGUUUAUUUGGUGUGAAUUAAAAUGCCACCGCAGACCCGCUUCGCACUUGUUCAGAGCCUUUAAAGGAAUUGGGGGGAUGCAUACCUGAUGACCACAGCGGGGUCUGGUGGAACCAUCUUCCUGGAGCCCAGGAU
rnacentral:lncRNA from 1 species